UUCCCCAAUUUAAUGAGGUUUUUUUCUGACGGCAAUAAAUGUACAUCAUUAUCAUAUUCUGGAUUAGUUUAUGGUUCAGAAUGUUCACCAGCUUAUUUGCUUUGUUUAUUAUCCACAUGUCCUUCAUUUCCUCAACCAUCAUCUUCAAUCUUCACCCUCACAGUCUCCAAAUAAUGCCUUAAGCUGAAAAAAUUAUGUUACAAUAUUCUUUUUAAACGAAACAAAAAAAAGCAGAAAAAAAAUAUUUGAUGAAAUGGCUGAUCUCUUCUCCAGAAGCUUCCAGUGCCUCGUGGUUCCAAGCUGCAAUCUUCCCCAAAAAUCUUCGGAAAGGCUUCGAAUUUCAGCUCCAAUUCCACUUCCCAAACGAUCUCUCAGAGUUAUCCACCAUACCCAUGUGCUUGCCAAUUCCACUUCAACCUCAAGCUCUUCUUCAAACUCUGUUCCUGAAGAAGUUGACAUUCUCUCUUCAACUGAGUGUUCCGAUGGUAGUGUUGUGUUCCAAUUUGCCAAUGCUAGUGAGGUUAGAAAAAGGAUGGCUGAGUUGGAGCAAGAAAAACUAGCCAGGGAAGCUGUUGAGAAAGUUGGUGAAGCUGGUCCAGCUUUGUUGAGUGAAGGUGUUGAAAAAUUAAACACUGAGGUUGAUCAUAAUCUAGUGGAGGAAAUUGAAUCUUCUUCAACUGUAGUAGUUAGUCUUGCUAAUCGAAAUCUUCAGCUUCCCGUAAAUGAAGAGGAGAGUAACGUGCUUUAUAAUGUCUCUAAGGCAGCUGUGAUCAGUGACGAAAAUGAAAUUGAUGGGAAUUUGAUGUUGGAUUCAGGAGAGGAUGUUCAGCAUGGAAUUUCAAGUAAAGAUGUUGCUGCUGAGGGUAAUGAUGUGCCAAGCUUGUCUGAGGAAGAUUCUGAAACUGACAAUCAGAAAGAAGUAGUUUCUACAGUUACCCCUGAGUCAGAUAUCAUCCCUGGUCUGAAUAGUCAUGCUUCUGGUGAAGUUGAAGAAGUGAAAGAAGUUGACAAGGGUCAUGGUGUAGAUAGAGCAAUAAACAGCGCGACUGAUGGCAUUGCUGCUGAUAUAAAUGAACCUAUAUCAGUAUCCAGUUCUUUAGAGCUAGAGCAAGAACAAGUUGCUGACAACAAAGAAAUAACUCACGAAAUUGUGGAAGUAGAUGAAGCAGCAAACAACCUGACUGGUGACAUCGAUGUGGAUGCCAAUUCUAGUGAGUUGAUGCCAGUAUCCACUUCUUUAGAGCCUGAACAAGUUGCCAAUGACAAAGAAACAACUCACCACAUUACGGAUGUAGAUAGAGAAGAAGAGAGCCUUGCUGCUGGUGUUGAUACUGUUAUCAGUGAAUUGAUGUCAGUAUCCACUUCUUUAGAGCCUGAACAAGUUGUUGAUGAUGAAGAAACGGCUUACCAUGUUGUGGACGUAGAUAAAGCAGCAAACAGCCUUGCUGCAGGUGUUCAUUCUGAUAAUGUUGAUGUAGAUAAAGCAGCAAUCAGCCUCACUGCUGAUGUUGAUUCUGAUAUUGGUGAAUUGAUCCCAGUAUCUUCGGAAUCUGAAAAAGUUCCUGUUGAUGAAGAAACAACUAACCAUAUUGUGGAAGAGCCAUUUGAUGAAAGUAAAAUGGAAAAAUCAGUCACGUUACAUGACUCGGUUGCAACACUGGAUUUGGAAAACAAAGCAGAUGUGGAAAGUAUGGGAAGAAAUGAUUAUGAAAACCCAUCACUUCCUACUGUACCAGAGACACAUUAUGUUGAGACAUCUAGUCAUGGGAGAAAAAGUUCCACAACAGAGUUUUGCUUAAUUUCCGGUGCUGCUUGCUUGCCUCAUCCCUCUAAGGCAUCAACAGGUCGAGAAGAUGCGUAUUUUAUUUCUCACUCAAAUUGGCUAGGUGUGGCUGAUGGAGUUAGUGAUUGGUCACUUCAAGGUAGUAAUGCUGGACAUUAUAUCAGGGAACUCAUGGAAAAGUGCAAAAAUAUCGUGUCGGAUCAUGAAAACCUUUCAACAAUGAAACCUGCAGAAGUUAUCACCAGUGGUGCUGCUGAAACCCAAAAGUCAGGAUCAUCUGCUAUUCUGGUUGCUCAUUUUGAUGGUCAGAAAUUUAUCUGUAGGCCUUUCAUGCAGCCAAUGUUGGGAACACUGGAUUUAUGGUAAUAAGAGAUGGUUGCGUCUUUAAGAAAUCAACUCCCAUGUUCCAUGAGUUCAGUUUUCCGUUACAAAUAGUUACAGGGGAAGAUCCAUCAGAAAUCAUUGAGGGGUACAAGAUCGAUGUAAAUGAUGGUGAUGUGAUUAUAACUGCAAGUAAUGGUCUUUUUGACAAUCUUUAUGAUCAAGAAAUAGCGUCAGUUGUAUCAAAGUCACUACAAGCUAACUUGAAACCUCAGGAAAUAGCAGAAUUGUUGGCCAUGAGAGCACAGGAAGUUGGAAGAUCAUCUUUUGCGAGAAGUCCUUUUGGCGAUGCGGCGCAGGCAGCAGGGUACGUGGGAUACACCGGCGGCAAGCUUGAUGAUGUAACUGUUAUAGUCUCGUCAGUUAAAACUACUCAGAUUGAUAGAUAGAGAUAGGUUCCUCUCUCAUUACUCAUUACUGCUGCUUUAUUUAUAUUUCCUCUGUAAAUAAAUGCAAUCAUUUUUGUAAAUUUAUCUCUAUCACCAUGCUGGUGACUGGUGAGUCGUGACACCGCAUAUAAAUUUCCUUCUAUAACCAUGGUCAUGACAUGAUCCUUUUUUAUUCAUAUUAAUUUUUUUGUCUGUAA